CCUAUAUAAAGAGUGUUCAUCGAUAUGAACAACAAGCUAGAUAGUUCCCUUUAUUUAUUACCAUAUCUAUACGAACGACUGGCAUCAGAGAAUCAGUAAAUAUGUUUCUGAGUUCGUUAAUGGUCGUGUUGGCAACGUUGGUUUUGUUCAAUCAAGCGGCGAACAUUGAGAACAUAAUUGAUUUUAGUAAUAUCAUACAUUCUGAAGAUUUAACAUCCCCUCCGUCGAAAAUUGAACUGUUUCGUCCAAACGGAAUUGAAAAAACUGGCGAAGGAAAUUACGGAAACAACAGUACAUCUAAAAUCAAUAACAAUUCAAUUUUGAAAAAAUUCACCAGUGGUAUAUCUGGUUAUCUAAAUUCAUACUUCAAUUCUUCAUGCGAAACGUCGAAUAUUAUCCCUGCCGAUGAUGAAGUUUGCUUGUGCAAAAAUUCAACGAUGUUAUUUUUCUUAAAAAAAAAAACUGUUUUUGGGUAAAGGUUUCUAAUAUCAGCAAGAAAAAACCCGAUAGUCAUUAGUAGGUUAGCCUACUACCUAUUACAUUAUUCGACUUUCGAUAUUAUACAUAUCACCCCAGCAACCAUAAAAUAGAUUCGAGCUACACUCUCAAAGUUGAUAGCUUUCAUGAAAGUGACACUACAAUAUUUCACGAUUGUCUAAUUCUUUUCAUCAUCUGGGAAUCACACCUGCAAUUACAUGGGUACCUACAAUCUAAUCCAUAAUAUUUUUGAAAAGCAUAGAUUUAAUAUUUAACUUUUUCAAUAUGUAUCUAUAUAAGUUUUCUUUGUGUUACAAAAUCGUUUAACAAUAUUUCACAUUCCAUAAAUUGAAUAUUACAUUUAAAAAUAUGUUGAUAAUGUCAUAAAGUGCACAAAAACAUUUUGUAACAAACACUAA
rnacentral:lncRNA from 1 species